rnacentral:rRNA from 1 species
AGUGAACGCUGGCGGUAGGCCUAACACAUGCAAGUCGAACGGCAGCACAGGAGAGCUUGCUCUCUGGGUGGCGAGUGGCGGACGGGUGAGGAAUACAUCGGAAUCUACUUUUUCGUGGGGGAUAACGUAGGGAAACUUACGCUAAUACCGCAUACGACCUACGGGUGAAAGCAGGGGAUCUUCGGACCUUGCGCGAUUAAAUGAGCCGAUGUCGGAUUAGCUAGUUGGCGGGGUAAAGGCCCACCAGGGCGACGAUCCGUAGCUGGUCUGAGAGGAUAAGCGGCCUCACUGGAACUGAGACACGGUCCAGACUCCUACGGGAGGCAGCAGUGGGGAAUAUUGGACAAUGGGCGCAAGCCUGAUCCAGCCAUACCGCGUGGGUGAAGAAGGCCUUCGGGUUGUAAAGCCCUUUUGUUGGGAAAGAAAUCCAGCUGGUUAAUACCCGGUUGGGAUGACGGUACCCAAAGAAUAAGCACCGGCUAACUUCGUGCCAGCCGCCGCCGUAA